ACCUUCCUUAUGAGCCUGUCAGAGGCUGCUGUUCUACAGAUAAGACACCAUUUCUUCAAAGAGGACUUCCACACCGUGCAGAUCCCUCACCAAACCAAGGCAGAAAGACAUCAGAACAGAGAUGCCACGCCAGCAAUAUUCCCGAUCCACACCAGCCUGGUGCCGGAUUUAACCCUCAAACGAUUAUCAAACCCACUCCAUCUGUGACACCUGCAGCAGGCCAGCAGAACUCUUUUGAUGGCUUGUUUAAAGACUACAAAUCUUUCCUGGUUGACAUCCCACAGAAAACUCCUAAGAAAAGGAGUGGUCAAAAUCAAGACAAUUUUGUGAUGAUUGCUGACGACGGUUCUGCUUCAGCUUUCUACAGAGGAUCAAAAAAUGCAUCAAUCGUCAUAAAAGAAACCUUGCCUUCCAUUUUAUAUUCUCUCAUUGCCAUCAGUAAUCCAACAAACUACAAUCCAAAUAGCAAUGAAGUGAGUGACCAGUUUUUCCUGAAAGACUACAUGGACAAUUACAGUCCUGACGGUGAUUUUCAACACUCCCCUGAUCAUUUGAAUGAGUUGAUUAACAAUCCAUCUACAAAAGAUUCUUCUCUCUACACCGAAAAUAUUAUUUCUAAAAAACUUGAAGAAAGUGAAUGGGGCCAAAAAAAUUUGCAAAGUCACAUACUUGCCACUGAAAGCAGUGCUCAGCCAUUUAAAAAGCAUGGAUUGGAAAAAGUAGGCUUUUUAAAUGUAGUAGAACAAUUUCAUGUGUGAAGAUUACAACGAUAAUUCAAAGAAAUUAUCUUUUUUGCAUACUCAACAGCAAAAAGAAGUUGAUGAUGGUCGUAUUCUUUGUGAUGAUAAGCUUUUGGCGGUAAAACCAUCAUAUGACAAAUUGAGAGGGACCCUGUUCUUCCCUGGUAGCAGAAGCCGUUAUGGUUCCAGCAUUCAUAAAGGAAUAAUAAAAGGAUGACCAUUGAGGCUGUAAAAGAAAAUCAAUGUUAAAUGGUGAAUCCAAAUGAUUAACAUUUUUGUUUCUUGUCAUGAUGAGGAAAGUACAAUGAGAUUUGACAAAUAACAUGAUGGUGCCAGGUGGAAAAAUCAAGCCCAUUCAAUCUGCAGGAGUCCUGGCAUACUGCUUUUGCAAAUAAAAUGCAUUGUGAUCACUAA